rnacentral:rRNA from 1 species
UACGGAGGGUGCAAGCGUUAUCCGGAUUUACUGGGUUUAAAGGGUGCGUAGGUGGAUAAUUAAGUCAGUGGUGAAAUCUUCAGGCUUAACCUGGAAACUGCCAUUGAUACUAUUUGUCUUGAAUACUUUGGAGGUAAGCGGAAUAUGUCAUGUAGCGGUGAAAUGCUUAGAUAUCGAGAGGAACACCUGCGGCGAAGGCGGGUUGCUGGGCUGACACUGACGCUGAUGCGCGAAAGCUAGGGGAGCGAACGGG